UCUCAUGGAUGAACAAAGAAAGUGGUUUCUUGAGAUGGAAUUGUUUCUAUUGAAGAUGCUGGGAA
rnacentral:pre_miRNA from 2 species